rnacentral:rRNA from 1 species
GCUUACGGCCAUACCAGCCUGGGUACGCCCGAACUCGUCUGAUCUCGGAAGCUAAGCAGGGUUGGCAUGGUUAGUACUUGGAUGGGAGAGUGCCUGGGAAUACCAGGUGUUGUAAGCA